rnacentral:rRNA from 1 species
CAGUAGCCGCGGUAAUACGAAGGGGGCUAGCGUUGUUCGGAUUUACUGGGCGUAAAGGGCGCGUAGGCGGACUGAUAAGUCAGGGGUGAAAUCCCAAGGCUCAACCUUGGAACUGCCUUUGAUACUGUUUGUCUUGAGUUCGAGAGAGGUAAGUGGAACUGCGAGUGUAGAGGUGAAAUUCGUAGAUAUUCGCAAGAACACCAGUGGCGAAGGCGGCUCACUGGCUCGAAACUGACGCUGAGGCGCGAAAGCGUGGGGAGCAAACAGGAUUAGAUACCCGAGUAGUCCCUGUCUCUUAUAC